rnacentral:sRNA from 1 species
UUGUCAUCUCUGAGGCUCACUGCCUCAGUGGGCUAACCAAGGCCUAGUCCUGGAAGCUUCUAGCCUCCAUAUAAUGUAACCUAGGCCUAGAGUGUUUUUCAGCCUCUGAGACCGGCUACUGAGUGUGUGGGCACACAUGUGGGGAUGCACUGCACGUGUGCAAAAGCUGACAUUACCUGUCUUCCUUGAUCACUCGGCACCCCAAACACUGAGGUGACCUCAAACAGACACCACGGACACGGAGGUAAGCGCCAGGCUGAGGAGGCCGGAAGCAAAGACUGAGCUGGGAUGGGAGCCGGGCACAGUGCUCUAACCAGAUAGAUGCCUCAGAGAGCAGACGUGGUGUUACACAGCUCUAAUCCCAGCAUCCAGGAAGCUGAGACAGAGGACUGGGUGUUCCAGAGCCUGGACUACAUGGUGAAAUCCUGUCUCCAAAGGAGAUGUUGCGGGCACACCACAGGGAGCCUCUAGUAGGGUAAUACCCGGUGAGCCUUUGGCUGGUAACCCAGGAGCACCGUGGACAUUGGUGAGGUACAAGGAGCAUGGGUGAGGGGUCGCUUACAGGAG